CCAGGGAUGGAACCCACAACCUCAUGGACGUUAUGCUGGGUUCUUAACCUGCUGAGCCACACCGGGAAUUCCUUGAUGCCUAUAUAUGUUGAUAGCUAUGUCUGUUUAGAAGUUCAUGGGCAUUUGGCUUGACCGAGACCAGUUGUGAACUGGGCGGGGGGCCCUGCGGCCAUGCUUUGUACCACAGGUGUUGCCAACUAGGGCCUCAUUAGGAGCAGAGGCCAUUUAAGGCUUUGGGUCACAGGGCUGAGUGAAGGAAGCUGUGAGAAGCCCGGGCUUAGUUGAAGAAAGCUGGCCCGAGGGCAGGUCUCCAGACCUGGGAGCUGCCGGCCUUUUCAUCCCCCACCGCAGGGCCUCCCUUGCUUGGGCCACACCCUAGAGCCUGGUUUUCAAACCGCAGGCGGCCUUGUCCCCUUACUGUUUCCCAAAAUCAGUAUAGUUGAUUCUUGCCAGUGUGAAAAAUGGAGCAAACCGAAGAGGAAAAAAAAAAAAAAAAAAAAAAAGGAGACGAACAAGCCAAAACAAAUCACUAAAGAGAAACAGAACAGGCAUGACCAGACUCCGCCGCGUGGUAAAGAUUGGAGGCUCCUGGGCUGCGGAGAAACUGAAGAGAGCUUAGCAUGGCGCUUGGUGUAUUCUGAGCUUCCGAAAUAAUGUCCUGUGAGAGAAGUGUUUUCUUGGACCUGGUCAUCCCUGUGUAGGCUGACUAUCAAGAUCCAUGGACCUCAAAGACAAGAUUCAGAACCUGUAAUGUCAUACAGGUGGCCUCAAGGGGAAGACAGAGCACUCUAGUGAUCUUGAUUUAAGGAAAUCUACCAAGACCCACCCAAUGGGGAACUGUUCCUAACAGAGAGUUCAAUGCCUCAUAGCCAAGAACAAAACAAAACAAAAAAACAAGAAAUGAGAAUUGAUUGCCACGGUGAGUUCUCCACUUCUGUUUCUGCAAUGGCAUUUAAAGAAUUUAUGAUUCUCUUUAUUAAUGCCUCCUUAAAAGCAGCAGGUUAGCUCCUUGUAAUUUCAUCUAACUUCCAUCCUUUGGUGUAUGUUGUUACUACUCUCAAUGGUUCUCAGCAAUAGCAGUAAUGCUUCAUUGUCACUUAGUGGUUGUAGUUUUCUGAAUGCUGUUCCAUGUAGAGUGGCAUUUAACUAAUUAGCCUCUUCUAUGUAGUAGAAAUAAUCCUUCCCCAUCAUAUUUACUUUUUUAGACAUACUUUUUUUUUAGCCCUCACUCUGUCCCAAAACUAACCUGCCAUUUCCUCAGCAACAUUCAAGAGCCCCAUUUUAGUCAUUGGAAUGAAGUUUGGGCUUUUUUUCUUAGAUCUCAGGACGCUCCUUGAUCUUACUUUUCUGGCCCAUCAAACCACUGCUCACCAACUCAAAUCAUUCAUCCAGUCAGAAGAGUCUCUCCUGCCCAAUCCAGGGUCUUUACUCAUUGCCCUAAAUGGAAAUAAGGUUCUGGAUUUUCAGUGAAAGUAAUACCCAUAUUUGUAUUAUUUUUAUUUUUUAGUAUUCCCCAAAUGUACAAGUAGCAAAUUAUUUCCUCUACUUUUAUAUUUUGUGCAUUUCUCCUAUGAACUUUUGUUUUGUUAAAAAAAAAAACUGAUAUGGAAUAAAAAUACUUCAGUAAAUUCUGUAAAAACUUAUAUUAAUCCUGCUGCAUGUUUUUUGGAAAAGUAAAGAAGCUUUCCAGGUUUCAUCUGAAAGGCUAAUUACUCCAGGGAUUUCUGAUUUUUUUCUUCAGCUGUACUCUUUCAUGAAGUUUAAAAAUUCUGUGAACAGAAGGGGCUGACGGAGAAGGAAACUGGAAGCAACAUUACAGAGUAGAAAUCCUUCUUUCACUCACUUUAUCUGAAAAUGAGAAUCAUAAUUGCUAUUUUUGUAGUAGCUUGAGUGUAUAUGAGUUCUUUGAUGCCCUGUGAGUUAAUUGUUGUCAGCUACUUUAAGACCUUAAUAUACAUCUCCUGGAGAUCUCCUGCAAUAAAAACCAUAAGCAUGGGAAGCCUAAUUCUUGUUCUAAGCACCUCAUGCUUUACUAAAAAGUAGUAGUAAUAAUUAUUUUCAGGUGUUAUAAUGGCAUUGUGUUUAGGUUUUUAAAACAUUUUCAACUUUGUUAGAACAGGAUUUCUCAAUCUGAGCACUACUGACAUUUUGAGAUUAUUCUUUGUUGGGGGAGGGGGAAGCUGUCCUGUGCAUUGUAGGAUAUUUAGCAGCAUCCCUGGCCUCCACCCACUUGAUGCCAGUGGUACCCCUAUCUCAGUUGUGACAACCAAACUUGUCUCGAGACAUUGCUCAGUGUCCCUGAGGUAGGGGUGGGGGGAAAGGACAACUUCACCCUCAGCUAAGAGCUACUGUUUUAGAAAUACAUACAGAAAUAUUUUUGAACCUAUUACUAUGAUGUCUCAUAGGGAGUGGUGGAGAACGUGGGUGUGACAGGAUUGGCCAAGGACUGAUGGUUUUUGGGGCUGAGUGAUGGGUUUUGGAGAUCUGUUGUAUUACUUUGACAACUACUUUUGUGUGUGUUAGAAAUUUUCUAAAAGAAAAGCACACAAAAGUGGCAGAGGAAGACAAAUAUAU